rnacentral:rRNA from 1 species
CCUACGGGUGGCAGCAGUAGGGAAUAUUGCUCAAUGGGGGAGACCCUGAAGCAGCAAAGCCGCGUGAGGGAUGAAGGUUUUCGGAUUGGAAACUCCUUUUGUUAGAGAAGAUAAUGACGGUAUCUAACGAAUAAGCACCGGAUAACUACGUGACAGCAGCCGCGGUAAUACGGAGGGUGCAAGCGUUACUCGGAAUCACUGGGCGUAAAGAGCGCGUAGGCGGGAUAGCAAGUCAGAUGUGAAAUCCUAUGGCUUAACCAUAGAACUGCAUUUGAAACUGUUAUUCUAGAGUAUGGGAGAGGUAGGUGGAAUUCUUGGUGUAGGGGUAAAAUCCGUAGAGAUCAAGAGGAAUACUCAUUGCGAAGGCGACCUGCUAGAACAUAACUGACGCUGAUGCGCGAAAGCGUGGGGAGCAAACAGGAUUAGAUACCCGGGUAGUC